rfam:Parasporobacterium paucivorans DSM 15970 genome assembly, contig: EJ69DRAFT_scaffold00045.45
GAUACCUGUCACUGCAUGGUGAAUACAUAGCCAUGCAGGGGGAACCCGGUGAACUGAAACAUCUAAGUAACCGGAGGAAAAGAAAGAAAACUCGAUUUCCUGAGUAGCGGCGAGCGAAAGGGAAGGAGCCUAAACCGGGAUGCGUGCAUCCCGGGGUUAAGGACCGCAAUAUGUGAGCCGAAAGUUAGAAGAAUGGUUCUGGAAAGACCAGCCGUAGAGAGUGAAAGCCUCGUAAACGAAAACGGAAGGCAGCAAGCGGGAUCCAAAGUACCACGAGACACGAGAAACCUUGUGGGAAUUCGGGGGGACCACCCCCCAAGGCUAAAUACUACUUAGUGACCGAUAGCGCAUAGUACUGUGAAGGAAAGGUGAAAAGAACCCCGGGAGGGGAGUGAAAGAGAACCUGAAACCUUGUGUUUACAAGCUGUGGAACCGCCAUUGAAGGCGGAACCGCGUACUUUUUGUAGAACGGUCCGGCGAGUUGCCUUUGCAGGCAAGGUUAAGCACUUAAGGUGCGGAGCCGCAGGGAAACCAAGUGUGAAUAGCGCGAAAGUCUGCAGGGGCAGACCCGAAACCGGGUGAUCUACCCAUGUCCAGGUUGAAGUUGCCGUAAAAGGCAAUGGAGGACCGAACACACAUCCGUUGAAAAGGGUGGUGAUGAGGUGUGGGUAGGGGAGAAAUUCCAAUCGAACCCGGAGAUAGCUGGUUCUCCUCGAAAUAGCUUUAGGGCUAGCCUCAUUUUAGUCUGCUGGAGGUAGAGCACUGAAUUUCCUAGGGGGCGUCAAAGCUUACCGAAGAAUAUCAAACUCCGAAUGCCAGCCAGAUGAUGAAUGGGAGUCAGACUGUACGAGAUAAGUUGGACAGUCAAAAGGGAAACAGCCCAGACCACCGGCUAAGGUCCCAAAGUGUGUGUUAAGUGGAAAAGGAUGUGGGAUUUCGAAAACAGCUAGGAUGUUGGCUUAGAAGCAGCCAUACAUUAAAAGAGUGCGUAAUAGCUCACUAGUCGAGAGGUCCUGCGCCGAAAAUGUCCGGGGCUAAAACACAACACCGAAGCCGUGGAAUGCACGUAAGUGCAUUGGUAGAGGAGCAUUGCCGACGCGACGAAGCGGUACCGUAAGGAGCCGUGGAGUGUCGGGAAGAGAGAAUGCCGGAAUGAGUAGCGAGAGCAAGGUGAGAAUCCUUGCGGCCGAAUAUCCAAGGUUUCCAGGGUAAAGCUGAUCUGCCCUGGGUAAGUCGGGACCUAAGGCGAGGCCGAAAGGCGUAGUCGAUGGACAACAGGUUGAUAUUCCUGUACUGCAGCAUAACAGAAAUGUGGGGACACAGAGGGAAGACCGGAGCCGGGAAUGGAAAACCCCGGUGCAAGCGGAGCAUCCGUGCGGAAGGUAAAUCCGCCGCACACAAGGAGAUGCCGUGACGCGGACCGAAAUCAAGUAGGGAAGCCGGCGUACCGUCUGUCAGGAAAAGCCGCUAUUGUUUAUGUUGCACCCGUACCGUAAACCGACACAGGUGGAUGAGGAGAGAAUCCUAAGGCCGACGGAAGAAGUAUUGUUAAGGAACUCGGCAAAAUGACCCCGUAACUUCGGGAGAAGGGGUGCCAGGGAAACCUGGCCGCAGAGAAAAGGCCCAAGCAACUGUUUAGCAAAAACACAGGUCUAUGCAAAACCGCAAGGUGAAGUAUAUGGGCUGACGCCUGCCCGGUGCUGGAAGGUUAAGGGGAGAGGUUAGCGCAAGCGAAGCUUCGAACUUAAGCCCCAGUAAACGGCGGCCGUAACUAUAACGGUCCUAAGGUAGCGAAAUUCCUUGUCGGGUAAGUUCCGACCCGCACGAAAGGCGUAAUGAUUUGGGCGCUGUCUCGACAAUACAUCCGGUGAAAUUGAAAUACCAGUGAAGAUGCUGGUUACCCGCGCCAGGACGGAAAGACCCCAUGGAGCUUUACUCUAGUUUGAUACUGGGAUUCGGUAUUGCAUGUACAGGAUAGGCGGGAGGCUAAGAAGUGAUGACGCCAGUCAUCAUGGAGCCGCUGUUGGGAUACCGCUCCUGUAGUACUGGAUUUCUAACACGCAGCCGUGAUCCGGCUGGUGGACAAUGUCAGGCGGGGAGUUUGACUGGGGCGGUCGCCUCCGAAAGAGUAUCGGAGGCGCUCAAAGGUUCCCUCAGAAUGGUCGGAAACCAUUCGCAGAGUGCAAAGGCAUAAGGGAGCUUGACUGCGACACCGACGGGUGGAGCAGGUACGAAAGUAGGACUUAGUGAUCCGGUGGUAUAAAGUGGGAUUGCCAUCGCUCAACGGAUAAAAGCUACCCUGGGGAUAACAGGCUUAUCACUCCCAAGAGUUCACAUCGACGGAGUGGUUUGGCACCUCGAUGUCGGCUCAUCGCAUCCUGGGGCUGUAGCAGGUCCCAAGGGUUGGGCUGUUCGCCCAUUAAAGCGGUACGCGAGCUGGGUUCAGAACGUCGUGAGACAGUUCGGUCCCUAUCCGGCGUGGGCGCAGGAUAUUUGAGAGGAGCUAUCCCUAGUACGAGAGGACCGGGAUGGACUGACCUCUGGUGCAUCUGCUGUCUUGCCAAAGGCAUGGCAGAGUAGCCAAGUCGGGACGGGAUAAACGCUGAAGGCAUCUAAGCGUGAAGCCCCCCUCAAGAUGAGAUAUCCCAUGGCACAAGCCAGUAAGACCCCUUGAAGACGACGAGGUUGAUAGGUCAGGGGUGUAAGUACAGCAAUGUAUUCAGCUGACUGAUACUAAUAGGUCGAGGGCUUGACCAA